rnacentral:rRNA from 1 species
UACGGAGGGUGCAAGCGUUAUCCGGAUUCACUGGGUUUAAAGGGUGCGUAGGUGGGUCUGUAAGUCAGUGGUGAAAUCUCCAAGCUCAACUUGGAAACUGCCGUUGAUACUAUAGAUCUUGAAUGUUGUGGAGGUGAGUGGAAUAUGUCAUGUAGCGGUGAAAUGCUUAGAUAUGACAUAGAACACCAAUUGCGAAGGCAGCUCACUACACAAAUAUUGACACUGAGGCACGAAAGCGUGGGGAUCAAACAGG